rnacentral:rRNA from 1 species
AAGCGGAGGAAAAAGAAACCAACAGGGAUUGCCUCAGUAGCGGCGAGUGAAGCGGCAAGAGCUCAGAUUUGAAAUCGUGCUUUGCGGCACGAGUUGUAGAUUGCAGGUUGGAGUCUGUGUGGAAGGCGGUGUCCAAGUCCCUUGGAACAGGGCGCCCAGGAGGGUGAGAGCCCCGUGGGAUGCCGGCGGAAGCAGUGAGGCCCUUCUGACGAGUCGAGUUGUUUGGGAAUGCAGCUCCAAGCGGGUGGUAAAUUCCAUCUAAAGCUAAAUACUGGCGAGAGACCGAUAGCGAACAAGUACUGUGAAGGAAAGAUGAAAAGCACUUUGAAAAGAGAGUGAAACAGCACGUGAAAUUGUUGAAAGGGAAGGGUAUUGCGCCCGACAUGGGGAUUGCGCACCGCUGCCUCUCGUGGGCGGCGCUCUGGGCUUUCCCUGGGCCAGCAUCGGUUCUUGCUGCAGGAGAAGGGGUUCUGGAACGUGGCUCUUCGGAGUGUUAUAGCCAGGGCCAGAUGCUGCGUGCGGG